rnacentral:rRNA from 1 species
UACGGGGGGGGCAAGCGUUGUUCGGAAUUACUGGGCGUAAAGGGCUCGUAGGCGGCCAACUAAGUCAUACGUGAAAUCCCUCAGCUUAACUGGGGAACUGCGUCUGAUACUGGAUGGCUUGAGUUUGGGAGAGGGAUGCGGAAUUCCAGGUGUAGCGGUGAAAUGCGUAGAUAUCUGGAGGAACACCGGUGGCGAAGGCGGCAUCCUGGGCCAAUACUGACACUGAGGAGCGAAAGCCAGGGGAGCAAACGGG